rnacentral:lncRNA from 1 species
UUUUCUUCCCCCAUCGUCUUCCCCAAAAUUUUCCCUCUCUCUGCAACUGAUUUCCAGCCCAAUUUUUUUCCUCUCUCAAGUUUCGUUUCUUCCCUACACGCGCGGAUCUCCCAACCAAAGCCUUCGGCCCGCGUCGUAGCUUCGCCCCGGCUUCGACCCAGCCGAGGUCUCCAAUGCGGCGCUUCUUCCAUCGCCCCGGAUCGAUGCGGGUCUUCAACACCGCGUUGGAGAUGCUCUAACUUCACCCCUCCUCCGCUGCCUGCCGCAGGAAAAAAACAGCGGCAGAGUCCACUUGCCGCCACAUCCGUCGCCCAAGACGGUGGUGGAAAUGCCGACUUCCGAUCGUUUUAGCAGAGGAUGAUCCGUUGAGGUUCCUCUGCCGCCGCAAGUAUGAAAUAAAUUAGUUGUUGCUGCUUCGUCUUCGAGGUUGUUGUUUUUUGGCCUACCUUUUUAACUAGAUCUUUACUGAUUGUAAGCUCCAGAUAUUUCUGUAAAAGCGCAGAGUUACUAGCUCUUCAGUUCGUGAUUCUCAGGUCCGGCAGGCGGCAGCGCCGCCGCAUCGGGCUAUCCAGCAACUACAAUAAGAGGAGAAGAGGGAGGGAGAGAGAGAUGUCGUCGGAGGAGGCGGCAACUACUUUCUCAGAGACAUGGAGCGAGAGAUUGAGAGUAGAUUUUUUUUUUAAUACAAAUGGGUCAGGGUCAACAAUGUGGGCAGGAUACAAUGCGGAUGUAUGGUACACUUGAAUGUACAAGAUAUUUUGUGUUAUUUUUAAUAUUGAACAUCAUGUUCUUUUUUCAUUUUAUUUUCAUUUGUUU